rnacentral:rRNA from 1 species
AAUAGAUACCCGGGUAGUCCACGCCGUAAACGAUGGGUGCUAAGUGUUAGGGGGUUUCCGCCCCUUAGUGCUGCAGCUAACGCAUUAAGCACUCCGCCUGGGGAGUACGGUCGCAAGACUGAAACUCAAAGGAAUUGACGGGGGCCCGCACAAGCGGUGGAGCAUGUGGUUUAAUUCGAAGCAACGCGAAGAACCUUACCAGGUCUUGACAUCCCAUUGACCGCUAUGGAGACAUAGCUUUCCCUUCGGGGACAGUGGUGACAGGUGGUGCAUGGUUGUCGUCAGCUCGUGUCGUGAGAUGUUGGGUUAAGUCCCGCAACGAGCGCAACCCUUGUUCUUAGUUGCCAUCAUUUAGUUGGGCACUCUAAGGAGACUGCCGGUGACAAACCGGAGGAAGGUGGGGAUGACGUCAAAUCAUCAUGCCCCUUAUGACCUGGGCUACACACGUGCUACAAUGGACGGUACAAACGGUUGCCAACCCGCGAGGGGGAGCUAAUCCGAUAAAACCGUUCUCAGUUCGGAUUGUAGGCUGCAACUCGCCUACA